rnacentral:rRNA from 1 species
AGUGAACGCUGGCGGUAGGCCUAACACAUGCAAGUCGAACGGCAGCACAGUAAGAGCUUGCUCUUACGGGUGGCGAGUGGCGGACGGGUGAGGAAUACAUCGGAAUCUACUUUUUCGUGGGGGAUAACGUAGGGAAACUUACGCUAAUACCGCAUACGACCUACGGGUGAAAGCAGGGGAUCUUCGGACCUUGCGCGAUUGAAUGAGCCGAUGUCGGAUUAGCUAGUUGGCGGGGUAAAGGCCCACCAAGGCGACGAUCCGUAGCUGGUCUGAGAGGAUGAUCGCCCACACUGGAACUGGGACACGGUCCAGACUCCUACGGGAGGCAGCAGUGGGGAAUAUUAGACAAUGGGCGCAAGCCUGAUCCAGCCAUACCGCGUGGGUGAAGAAGGCCUUCGGGUUGUAAAGCCCUUUUGUUGGGAAAGAAAAGCAGCAGGUUAAUACCCCGCUGUUCUGACGGUACCCAAAGAAUAAGCACCGGCUAACUUCGUG